rnacentral:snRNA from 1 species
GGAUGUCUGGGCUAUCUGGCUGUGACAUCUGUCACUACAUUGAUUGCCAGGGUUGAUUUGGUUGAUCUGGCUGGCUAGGUGGGUAUCCCCAUCCUCCCUUACUGCUCUAUGUGCAUCCCUCCCGAAGCUGCGUACUUAGUAGAAGAGGAUGAUCUUCCCAGAUAGAGGAAAACUCUUCUUUGCUCAGAGGUAUAUGAGUAGCUGGUCUCCCCUGCUGGAACCUCCAAACAAGCUCUCAAAAUUAUUUCUUAUAGUUCUGUAGUUUAGGAAGUACAAGGUAAAGGGGGUGCAUCUGGUGAGAGCCUACUUCCUGUU